CCUACGGGCGGCUGCAGUGGGGAAUAUUGGACAAUGGGGGGAACCCUGAUCCAGCCAUGCCGCGUGUGUGAAGAAGGCACUCGGGUUGUAAAGCACUUUCAGUGAGGAAGAACGCCUGGUGGUUAAUACCCAUCAGGAAAGACAUCACUCACAGAAGAAGCACCGGCUAACUCCGUGCCAGCAGCCGCGGUAAUACGGAGGGUGCGAGCGUUAAUCGGAAUUACUGGGCGUAAAGCGCGCGUAGGUGGCUUGAUAAGCCGGUUGUGAAAGCCCCGGGCUCAACCUGGGAACGGCAUCCGGAACUGUCAAGCUAGAGUGCAGGAGAGGAAGGUAGAAUUCCCGGUGUAGCGGUGAAAUGCGUAGAGAUCGGGAGGAAUACCAGUGGCGAAGGCGGCCUUCUGGACUGACACUGACACUGAGGUGCGAAAGCGUGGGUAGCAAACAGGAUUAGAUACCCGAGUAGUC
rnacentral:rRNA from 1 species